rnacentral:rRNA from 1 species
GGCCGCGGGAAUCGAUUACGGGGUGCGCAGCAGUGCGCGAAACUUUACAAUGCGGGCAACCGUGAUAAGUGGAACCUCGAGUGCCUGUAAAUGCAGGCUGUUCAGUGUGCCUAAAACACACCUGAAGAAAGGGCCGGGCAAGACCGGUGCCAGCCGCCGCGGUAAUACCGGCGGCUCGAGUGGUGGCCGCUUUUAUUGGGCUUAAAGCGUUCGUAGCUGGGUUGUUAAGUCUCUUGGGAAAUCUGGCGGCUUAACCGUCAGGCGUCUAAGGGAUACUGGCAAUCUUGGAACCGGGAGAGGUGAGGGGUACUUCGGGGGUAGGAGUGAAAUCCAUGUAAUCCUCGAGGGACCACCUGUGGCGAAGGCGCCUCACCAGAACGGCUUCGACAGUGAGGGACGAAAGCUGGGGGAGCAAACCGGAUUAGAUACCCGGGUAGUCCCAGCCGUAAACUAUGCGCGUUAGGUGUAUCGUGACCACGAGUACGAGGUGCGAAGGGAAACCGUGAAACGUGCCGCCUGGGAAGUACGGUCGCAAGGCUGAAACUUAAAGGAUUGGCGGGGGAGCACCACAACAGGUGGAGCCUGCGGUUUAAUUGGACUCAACGCCGGGAAGCUCACCGGAUAAGACAGCAGAAUGAUUGCCGGGCUGAAGACUCUGCAUGACUAGCUGAGAGGAGGUGCAUGGCCGUCGUCAGAUUCGUACUGUGAAGCAUCCUGUUAAGUCAGGCAACGAGNGGGGACCCACGCCAACAGUUGCCAGCAUGGUCUCCGGACUUGAUGGGGACACUGUUAGGGGACCGCCUCUGCUAAAGAGGAGGAAGGAAUGGGCAACGGUAGGUCAGCAUGCCCCGAAUUAUCCGGGCUACACGCGGGCUACAAUGGGCAGGACAAUGGGCAUCGACACCGAAAGGUGAAGGCAAUCUCCUAAACCUGUCCUUAGUUCGGAUUGUGGGCUGCAACUCGCCCACAUGAAGCUGGAAUCUGUAGUAAUCGCGUUUCAAAAUAACGCGGUGAAUUUGUCCCUGCUCCUUGCACACACCGCCCGUCAAACCACCCGAGUGGGGUUUGGAUGAGGUUGCGGUUGUUGCCGCAGUCGAAUCUAGGUUCCGCAAGGGGGGUUAAGUCGUAACAAGGUAGCCGUA